GAUGAACGCUGGCGGCGUGCCUAAUACAUGCAAGUCGAGCGAAGCGGGGACGGGUGAGUACGACGUGGAGAAUCUCCUAUAAGACUGGGAUAAAUUCGGGAAACUGGAGCUAACGCGGAUACUUAUAUAUGGUUCCGCGAGUCAUUAGCUAUUUGGUAAGGUAACGGCUUACCAAGGUAACGAUGCAUAGCCGACCUGAGAGGGUGAGCGUCCACACUGGAACUGAGACACGGGCCAGACGCCUACGGGAGGCAGCAGUAGGGAAGCUGCCGCAAUUGGCGAAAGCCUGACGGAGCAACGCCGCGUGAGUGAUGAAGGUCUUCGGAUCGUAAAACUCUGUUAUUAGGGAAGCGGUACCUAAUCAGAAAGCCACGGCUAACUACGUGCCAGCAGCCGCGGUAAUUC
rnacentral:rRNA from 1 species